rnacentral:rRNA from 1 species
GUGGGUAACCUGCCUUAUAGUGGGGGAGUAGCCUUUCGAAAGGAAGAUUAAUACCGCAUAAGAUUGUAGUAUCGCAUGAUAUAGCAAUUAAAGGAGCAAUUCGCUAUAAGAUGGACCCGCGUCGCAUUAGCUAGUUGGUGAGGUAAUGGCUCACCAAGGCGACGAUGCGUAGCCGACCUGAGAGGGUGAUCGGCCACAUUGGGACUGAGACACGGCCCAGACUCCUACGGGAGGCAGCAUG